AUUGAACGCUGGCGGCAGGCUUAACACAUGCAAGUCGAGCGCCCCGCAAGGGGAGCGGCAGACGGGUGAGUAACGCGUGGGAAUCUACCCAUCCCUACGGAACAACUCCGGGAAACUGGAGCUAAUACCGUAUACGCCCUUAGGGGGAAAGAUUUAUCGGGGAUGGAUGAGCCCGCGUUGGAUUAGCUAGUUGGUGGGGUAAGGGCCUACCAAGGCGACGAUCCAUAGCUGGUCUGAGAGGAUGAUCAGCACAUUGGGACUGAGACACGGCCCAAACUCCUACGGGAGGCAGCAGUGGGGAAUAUUGGACAAUGGGCGCAAGCCUGAUCCAGCCAUGCCGCGUGAGUGAUGAAGGCCUUAGGGUUGUAAAGCUCUUUCACCGAUGAAGAUAAUGACGGUAGUCGGAGGAGAAGCCCCGGCUAACUUCGUGCCAGCCGCCGCCGUAAUAC
rnacentral:rRNA from 1 species